UACGGAGGGUGCAAGCGUUAUCCGGAUUCACUGGGUUUAAAGGGUGCGUAGGCGGAUUGGUAAGUCCGUGGUGAAAUCUCUAAGCUUAACUUGGAAACUGCCAUGGAUACUAUUAGUCUUGAAUAUUGUGGAGGUUAGCGGAAUAUGUCAUGUAGCGGUGAAAUGCAUAGAUAUGACAUAGAACACCAAUUGCGAAGGCAGCUGGCUACACAAAUAUUGACGCUGAGGCACGAAAGCGUGGGGAUCAAACAGG
rnacentral:rRNA from 1 species